ACAGUGCUUAUAAAAGGUACCCUGACCACUCGGACCAAAAUGGCGGAUGUCUGAUUCCAGCAGAUAAGACGUUCCUAGAGGGUAAAUGUUCCUGGAUAAGUUCCUGGAGGUACACAGGUGCUAUUUUAUGAACUGCCUGAUAUGUUAAACACAGUAAUUUGAAUUCAAUGCAUUCAUUUAUGCGAAGCCAAUGAAGAGAGGAUAAAACAGGUGAAAUGUGGUCGCAAACUUUUGUUCGUGAAACAAUUCUUGCCGCUGAAUUUUGGCAAUGAUUCCAUUUUCAUGCAGCAAGACAACUGACUAUCCUUUUCUGGAGUGAAGAAAUUUAUGAUUUGUGAGUCGUCUGCAUAAAAAUGGUGGUAUAAAUCCUUUUUGAUGAGCAGUUUACCAAGUGGUUUCGUGUUUAUGUUAAAGAGGUGUAUUAUCGAUGUAAGCCUAUACGACGGUGAUAUUAUGUAUAUAUUAAACUAUUGUUGAAUUAUUAUUGUAUAUCUGGUGUGAAAUAAAUUGGAGUCAGUUGUUCAGUCAGUUAGGUGGCUUCGACUCUGCUACCCAAAAAAUGUCUUUAUUUUAUGUAUCAGGGGUUAUACAUUGGCCUGUUGAUCUUAGAAAAGAUUAACUUCGGUAAAGGUGUCUUGCUUGCAUGUAUUUAGUGACGAGGGGGGGUGGAUUUUUAUAAACAGAUAAACUUUAUCAGUUUAUAAAGAAGAUUAUUUAUUUACACACCCUCUACUAACGGCUUAUUUCUAUAAAACAAAUUUAAAUAUAAUUUA